AGUAUUCUUGUACAUAUAAAUUACAAUGUUAACAUGUUAUUAAUAGAUGGCGUUAAUGGCGCGAACCAAUUUGUUCCUUGGCGCAAACAUAGAUGGCGCAAAGAAAAAAAAACUUUAAUUCGUAAAUAAAGAAGUCGGUUAACUAAAUAAAUAAAUAUAUAACAAAUUAAUUAAAUAAUCAUUAAAUAACUUAAUAUAAAAAAGGGGAAAUAUAUAAACCCUUAAAAAACUUAACCUCAAGUACAUAAUCUGUGCCUCAAGUAAAUUAUAAAUGUAUUGCCAUAAUCUCACCAGAGCGUUACGGAAGUGACAUGAAUCCAGUAAUACAAGAUAGAUUCAAACUAAUAGAAUCCGAUAUUACCCACACCUAGUUUCUAACUGGACUGAGCGAAAAUGGCGCCGGCUGAGCAUCGCACCGUCAAAGAUCAUGCGUGAAUUCACAGGAUCACGCCUCCCUCCAUAACGGACCCUCACCCCAGGCCUUUAGAAUCGUAAGCAUGAGACGGGAAGACUUUUGCUGUUAAGGAAGAUAAUAAUAAGGGGGGUAAUAAUAUCUUUGUUUAUUCUUGCUGACAAAUUGGGUGGGGAGGUAAAAAGCCCCAAGGAAGUGGUCACUCCUACACCAACGGGAAUGAGAUGUGGUAGAAUGUAUGUAUGUAUCACUAACCCCAGGCCA